ACUCAAGUAAAGUGAGGCCACAGUGUCGUGAGUAUGUCUGUUCUUCUGGGAGAGAAUUCAUCGGUGAUUUUGUCUAUAUCCGGGAUAACAAUUGGGGCCACGACACUCAUUCUAUAUUACAGAUUAACUAGAAAUGUUAACUCAGAACUGAAUCAGCUAACUUGCUCGGUAAAUAAUUUAAGAGAUGAAAUCAAACGUCUUCAAGAAAAAAUAGACGGAGCAACCGCCAGCGUCGGUGCUACCGGUAGAUCUACAACCGGUGGUUCAAUCCUCCGAGCUAAACAACGUAUUCCGGGCUAUGUUUCUGCGACGAGCUCAGGCGAUGAGGAUGAUGUUUAUGAAGAAGCAUUAGAAGGUGAUGAAGAAUAUGAAACCUCCAGAGAAUAUGAUAGUGGAAGUUUGAGUAGCCAGUCCUUGAAGGGAAAACCAUUGAAAACAUCAACCCAAAAACUAUUUGAAACUGUGGAUAAGUUACUGGAAGGCUCUGAUCAAGAAAAGGAAAAUGCUUACAACCUUCUAGCAGCAAAGAAAGACAUUUUAACAUAUUCACAGAACCCAGACUUCCUUUGGAGGUUGUCAAAGGCAGCAUAUUUCUUAUCACAAAUUGAGAAUGGAAGAGGAAAUGAUGAAAGGAAGAAGAGUCUAGUAUACGAAGCUAGGGAUAGUGCCCAAGAUGCCUUCAGUAUAGAUGAGAAUAAAGCAGAGGCUCAUAAAUGGUAUGCUAUAACAUUGGGCAGCAUAGGAGAAAUUGAAGGAAUGCAAGUUAAGAUUAAAAGUGGUUAUGAGUUUAAGGAUCACAUUGAGAAGGCUAUAGCCAUAAAUCCAAGUGAUCCGUCACUUCACCAUCUCUUGGGCAGGUGGUGCUAUGGGGUCUAUAUGUUAACCUGGAUAGAAAGAAAAGUUGCAUCCACGUUAUUUGCUACUCCACCUACUGCAACCAUUGAUGAAGCUUUGAAGCAUUUCAAGGAGGCUGAGAGAUUGAGCCCAGGCAAAUGGAAAGAAAAUAUGUUAUACUUAGCAAAGAGUUUCAUUGAAAAAAAAGACUACAGCUCGGCAGUACUGUGGUUGGAGAAAGCUGAUGCUCUUGUAGGCUCCAGUCAAGAUGACAAAACUGCCCAAGAAGAGAUUACAAAACUUCUCAAUCAGUAUAGAACAUAUGCCUAAUGAAUGUUUAUUCAAUUACAAGAAAAGACAGAGGAAUGUGUCAACUAGUCCCAAACUCAGACAAAAAUAAGUGAAGGGAUAGUGAUAACUUCAUGGCAUGACUACAAUGAACAAAUGCUAGGAUUAUGUAAUUGUUGAAAUGUUUAAGAAAGAGUAUAUUUUUGGUGAAACUGUGAUAGAAAAGUAAAAUAUUGACUUGACCUUUCACUUCAAAAGUCCCUGUGUUAUGAUGCACAUGUGAGAUGUUCAAGCAUAAUCUCACACACACACACAUACACAUACACAGUGCAACCAGUCAGUAAUUAGCAGUGCAUUGCUAGUCUUGACAGUGUGUGCUCAUUUUGUGUUCUCCCUGACAAAGUAUUGCCUUAGAAGCAGUAGGAUACACUUUGUUCAGGCAUAGGAAUAUCUCGCACCCUGACAUUUCAUAUCACUCCUAUUUCUGAGCAGUAUAUAUCAUACUGAAUGUGACAGAUUCUACCCAGAUUCUUGUAGGAAAUGUUUUAUUCACUGUUAAUAUUUAUUGGAAAAAGAUGUGUUUUGUCUUAAAGGUAUAUGAAUCAAAUGGAUGUGGAUACUAAUGGAUGUGGUUGUCUACUUACAUUUUACUUUUAC
rnacentral:misc_RNA from 1 species